rnacentral:lncRNA from 1 species
AUGAUGUGGGAGUUGAUGAGAGGUAACAUUUUUAAUGUUACCACAAGGGUUUCUCAUGGAAGUAUUCUUUGGCUUUGGUUGUUGCAGAAACAGUUGUAUGAUAUUAACAAUGUGUGUGAAAAACUGAUGGUGAAUGGGUUCUGGGGACUCUGUGUUAUGACACUUUCGAGGUCACACUUCACGAAUGGUAACGAAGAGUUGAUACGGAUUAAAUUAUUGAUCUUGUCAAUCGCAUUGAGUUGAUCAGGAUCAAUAAUUUGA